rnacentral:rRNA from 1 species
GUUUGGUUAAGUUAGAAAGGGCGCACGGUGGAUGCCUUGACACUAGGAGUCGAUGAAGGACGGGACUAACGCCGAUAUGCUUCGGGGAGCUGUAAGUAAGCUUUGAUCCGAAGAUUUCCGAAUGGGGAAACCCACCAUACGUAAUGGUAUGGUAUCCUUAUCUGAAUACAUAGGGUAAGGAAGACAGACCCAGGGAACUGAAACAUCUAAGUACCUGGAGGAAGAGAAAGCAAAUGCGAUUUCCUGAGUAGCGGCGAGCGAAACGGAACAUAGCCCAAACCAAGAGGCUUGCCUCUUGGGGUUGUAGGACAUUCUAUACGGAGUUACAAAGGAACGAGUUAGACGAAGCGACCUGGAAAGGUCCGUCGUAGAGGGGAACA